AUUGAACGCUGGCGGCAUGCCUUACACAUGCAAGUCGAACGGCAGCACGGGUGCUUGCACCUGGUGGCGAGUGGCGAACGGGUGAGUAAUACAUCGGAACAUGUCCUGUAGUGGGGGAUAGCCCGGCGAAAGCCGGAUUAAUACCGCAUACGAUCUACGGAUGAAAGCGGGUGACCUUAGGGCCUCGCGCUAUAGGGCUAGCAGAUGGCUGAUUAGUUAGUUGGUGGGGUAAAGGCCUACCAAGGCGACGAGCAGUAGCUGGUCUGAGAGGACGACCAGCCACACUGGAACUGAGACACGGCCCAGACUCCAACGGGAGGCAGCAGUGGGGAAUUUUGGACAAGGGGCGAAAGCCUGAUCCAGCAAUGCCGCGUGUUUGAAGAAGGCUUUCGGGUUGUAAAGCACUUUUGUCCGGAAAGAAAACCUUGGCCCUAAUACGGUCGGGGGAUGACGGUACCGUAAGAAUAAGCACCGGCUAACUACGUG
rnacentral:rRNA from 1 species